rnacentral:misc_RNA from 1 species
UCCGGUUUGUACCGGCGGUCCCGCCAGAAACGGUAACUGGCAGCAGGGGUUGCGCUCGUUGCGGGACUUAACCCAACACCUCACGGCACGAGCUGACGACAGCCGUGCAUCACCUCGCACAGUGCCCCGAAGGGAAACCGGCUUUCACCGGCGGUCACUGCACGUUCAAGCCCAGGUAAGGUUCUUCGCGUUGCAUCGAAUUAAACCACACGCUCCGCUGCUUGUGCGGGCCCCCGUCAAUUCCUUUGAGUUUCAGUCUUGCGACCGUACUCCCCAGGCGGAGUGCUUAAUGUGUUGACUUCGGCACAGCAGGGGUCGAUACCCGCUACACCAAGCACUCAUCGUUUACGGCGUGGACUAC